AUUUAAAAUGCGGACAGUGGCCUCUUUCUGACCAAGUAGUUCCAGGAACGUAGUUCUAGGAACAGUCCACUUCUAAACAGUUCUACUAACUACUCUCCCCCAAAACUGUUUUU